rnacentral:rRNA from 1 species
AGUGAACGCUGGCGGUAGGCCUAACACAUGCAAGUCGAACGGCAGCACAGUAAGAGCUUGCUCUUACGGGUGGCGAGUGGCGGACGGGUGAGGAGUACAUCGGAAUCUACUUUUUCGUGGGGGAUAACGUAGGGAAACUUACGCUAAUACCGCAUACGACCUACGGGUGAAAGCAGGGGAUCUUCGGACCUUGCGCGAUUGAAUGAGCCGAUGUCGGAUUAGCUAGUUGGCGGGGUAAAGGCCCACCAAGGCGACGAUCCGUAGCUGGUCUGAGAGGAUGAUCAGCCACACUGGAACUGAGACACGGUCCAGACUCCUACGGGAGGCAGCAGUGGGGAAUAUUGGACAAUGGGCGCAAGCCUGAUUCAGCCAUACCGCGUGGGUGAAGAAGGCCUUCGGGUUGUAAAGCCCUUUUGUUGGGAAAGAAAAGCAGCAGGUUAAUACCCCGCUGUUCUGACGGUACCCAAAGAAUAAGCACCGGCUAACUUCGUG